AUCGCCUUCCUCAUCUUCAAAGAUCUUACAUCUCGGCCCCAGUAUAAUGAUCUGUUUGUAAAGAAGCCUGGUGGCAAUGAUAACCCGCCAUUCUAGAUUUGCAGCUGGAGAGCAGCUAAUUCUGGUGGAAAUCUUCUAUCUUCUUCCUACGAGUAGAAAAUUCAGAAUUGCUCGAUCGGGUGUGUAUGGUUUUCGCUGUCGAGAACGAUGUUUUCUGGUGUCAUUCACUGUAACUCUUUGUGAUUGUGGCCUUACAGGACCAACAAUUUUG
rnacentral:misc_RNA from 1 species